rnacentral:tRNA from 1 species
GGCUCAGUGGUCUAGUGGUAUGAUUCUCGCUUUGGGGCGCGAGAGGCCACGAGUUCGAUUCCCGUCUGAGCCC